rnacentral:tRNA from 1 species
GCCUGGCUAGCUCAGUCAGAAGAGUAUGUGAUUCUUGAUCUCAAGGUCGUGAGUUCAAGCCCCAUGUUGGGCA